rnacentral:rRNA from 1 species
GACGAACGCUGGCGGCGUGCUUAACACAUGCAAGUCGAACGGAAAGGCCCUGCUUUUGUGGGGUGCUCGAGUGGCGAACGGGUGAGUAACACGUGAGUAACCUGCCCUUGACUUUGGGAUAACUUCAGGAAACUGGGGCUAAUACCGGAUAGGAGCUCCUGCUGCAUGGUGGGGGUUGGAAAGUUUCGGCGGUUGGGGAUGGACUCGCGGCUUAUCGGCUUGUUGGUGGGGUAGUGGCUUACCAAGGCUUUGACGGGUAGCCGGCCUGAGAGGGUGACCGGCCACAUUGGGACUGAGAUACGGCCCAGACUCCUACGGGAGGCAGCAGUGGGGAAUAUUGCACAAUGGGCGGAAGCCUGAUGCAGCAACGCCGCGUGCGGGAUGACGGCCUUCGGGUUGUAAACCGCUUUCGCCUAUGACGAAGCGUGAGUGACGGUAAUGGGUAAAGAAGCACCGGCUAACUACGUG